GGGAUGUCAGGCCAAACCUCUGAUCAGGAUGAAUUUCGUUGCAAUUUAAGCGGCCUGACAAUGGCUGUUUCCCCCACACUCAGUAAUGGUAAAAAUUAUUUUGGGUAUGGGCUCCUAUACAUUGAAUGUUUUGCAUUUCUUUCAAAUGAUUAGAAAUCGAAAGCUAGUUUUAUUGAAGGGAUGAUCAAAAUUUGCAACGAUGCAAAAUUAGAAUAACUUUCUGUGCAUGAAUUACAAGCAGAAGACCAUAUUUACAUGGGUACAAAUCAUUAGAAAAGAAAUAUUAUAAUCUAAUUAUGUAAAAUAAUCUUACGAAAUUUAUGAUAAUCAAAAUUGUUACUGUAAUCUCUCCACAUAGGAUAUCGUUGCAACGAAAAUCUUUCGAUGUAUUGAAAUAGUAAUGCAUGUGAAAUCCUCGUGCUCCUUUUCCAACUUGCAUGAAAUGCUUUGAUUAGUAGUUUCCAUACCAAGAACAUGGAACACAAAUAAAUAAUGUUUGAUGAGAUAUUUUUUAUUUUUUUUAUUGUUUAACGCAAA
rnacentral:lncRNA from 1 species